GGGUACGGGUAUCGGGUACCCGGUUGCUACCUCUGAGGUGGGGUCAUUACAAACAGCACAAGGUGUAGUCGAAAACAUGCAGCCCUCCCUGUGUUAUGCUUGGAAAUGAACAUCAAUAGGUCAAGAUAUUAUCAUGGCCAGAGCCGUUGAUGCCACUACACCUUGAAUAGACCGAGCCCAGCUGCACAAAUGGAGCCUCGGAAACCGGUGGGGCUCACUCACCCCGCUGUGCCUCGGCCACUCCUCUACAACCACUGGACUGUGUUCAAAAAAAUGCCAGGGGCGAGAACACAAGACGUGGCAGAACAUACUAUUUACGUUUUAAAAUAUAGCAUUAUACUGAAAAGAUAUACAAUGUGCUUCAAUUUUUAAGCAAAUAUUCGAAUUAACCGCUUGAGAACGACGGUUUUACAAAUAUUAAUUAAUCACACAUUUUGUUUAUUGUAUCAAGUAGU